CUCAGGUGUUGUUGGGUAGGGGAGCGUUCUGUAAGCCUGCGAAGGUGGCCUGUGAGGGUUGCUGGAGGUAUCAGAAGUGCGAAUGCUGACAUAAGUAACGAUAAAGCGGGUGAAAAGCCCGCUCGCCGGAAGACCAAGGGUUCCUGUCCAACGUUAAUCGGGGCAGGGUGAGUCGACCCCUAAGGCGAGGCCGAAAGGCGUAGUCGAUGGGAAACGGGUUAAUAUUCCCGUACUUGGUGUUACUGCGAAGGGGGGACGGAGAAGGCUAUGUUGGCCGGGCGACGGUUGUCCCGGUUUAAGCGUGUAGGUGUGUGUUCCAGGUAAAUCCGGUUCACUUUAACACUGAGGCGUGACGACGAGGCACUACGGUGCUGAAGCAACAAAUGCCCUGCUUCCAGGAAAAGCCUCUAAGCAUCAGGUAACAUCAAAUCGUACCCCAAACCGACACAGGUGGUCAGGUAGAGAAUACCAAGGCGCUUGAGAGAACUCGGGUGAAGGAACUAGGCAAAAUGGUGCCGUAACUUCGGGAGAAGGCACGCUGACAUGUAGGUGAAGUGAUUUACUCAUGGAGCUGAAGUCAGUCGAAGAUACCAGCUGGCUGCAACUGUUUAUUAAAAACACAGCACUGUGCAAACACGAAAGUGGACGUAUACGGUGUGACGCCUGCCCGGUGCCGGAAGGUUAAUUGAUGGGGUCAGCGCAAGCGAAGCUCCUGAUCGAAGCCCCGGUAAACGGCGGCCGUAACUAUAACGGUCCUAAGGUAGCGAAAUUCCUUGUCGGGUAAGUUCCGACCUGCACGAAUGGCGUAAUGAUGGCCAGGCUGUCUCCACCCGAGACUCAGUGAAAUUGAACUCGCUGUGAAGAUGCAGUGUACCCGCGGCAAGACGGAAAGACCCCGUGAACCUUUACUAUAGCUUGACACUGAACAUUGAGCCUUGAUGUGUAGGAUAGGUGGGAGGCUUUGAAGUGUGGACGCCAGUCUGCAUGGAGCCG
rnacentral:rRNA from 1 species